rnacentral:rRNA from 1 species
GAUGAACGCUGGCGGCGUGCUUAACACAUGCAAGUCGAACGGAAAGGCCAGUGCUUGCACUGGUACUCGAGUGGCGAACGGGUGAGUAACACGUGGGUGAUCUGCCCUGCACUUCGGGAUAAGCCUGGGAAACUGGGUCUAAUACCGGAUAGGACAAUGGUUUGGAUGCCGUUGUGGAAAGUUUUUUCGGUGUGGGAUGAGCUCGCGGCCUAUCAGCUUGUUGGUGGGGUAAUGGCCUACCAAGGCGUCGACGGGUAGCCGGCCUGAGAGGGUGUACGGCCACAUUGGGACUGAGAUACGGCCCAGACUCCUACGGGAGGCAGGAGUGGGGAAUAUUGCAAAAUGGGCGCAAGCCUGAUGCAGCGACGCCGCGUGGGGGAUGACGGCCUUCGGGUUGUAAACUCCUUUCGCUAGGGACGAAGCGUAUUUGUGACGGUACCUGGAGAAGAAGCACCGGCUAACUACGUG